GACGAACGCUGGCGGCGUGCUUAACACAUGCAAGUCGAACGGUGAAGCGCUUUCCUUUUUGGUUGGUGUGGAGGAGUGGCGAACGGGUGAGUAACACGUGAGUAACCUGCCCCCUGCUUCGGGAUAACCGCAUGAAAGUGUGGCUAAUACUGGAUAUUCUGCGCCUUCUUCAUGGUGGGUGUGGGAAAGAUUGUGCCUUUGGGUGUUUUCGGUGGUGGAUGUGCUCGCGGCCUAUCAGUUUGUUGGUGGGGGGAUGGCCUACCAAGACGGUGACGGGUAGCCGGCCUGGGAGGGUGGACGGUCACACUGGGACUGGGACACGGACCAGAAUCAUACGGGAGGGAGCAGUGGGGGAUAUUGCACAAUGGGAGCAAGCCUGAUGCAGCGACGCCGCGUGAGGGAUGGAGGCCUUCGGGUUGUGAACCUCUUUCGCCAGUGAAGCAGGCAUGCUCCUUGUGGGUGGGUUGACGGUAGCUGGAUAAGAAGCGCCGGCUAACUACGUG
rnacentral:rRNA from 1 species